UGGGACGUGGCUCAGUGGUAGAGCUCUUGCCUUGUGUGUACAAGGCACUGGGUUUAAUUCUCAGCGCCACAC
rnacentral:tRNA from 1 species